GUGUCAGCAGCCGCGGUAAGACGAAGGUGGCUAGCGUUGCUCGGAUUUACUGGGCAUAAAGCGCGCGUAGGUGGUCGUGUAAGCGGGGGAUGAAAGCCCAUGGCUCACCCAUGGAACUGUCCCCCGGACUGCACGGCUCGAGGAAGGAAGGGGAGAAUGGAAUUCCCGGUGUAGCGGUGAAAUGCGUAGAUAUCGGGAGGAACGCCGGUGGCGAAAGCGAUUCUCUGGUCCUUUCCUGACACUGAGGCGCGAAAGCUAGGGGAGCAAACAGGAUUAGAUACCCCCGUAGUCC
rnacentral:rRNA from 1 species